ACACCGGCCGCUCAAGUGGUAGCCGCUUUUAUUGGGCCUAAAGCGUCCGUAGCCGGUCUGAUAAGUCUCUGGUGAAAUCCCACAGCUUAACUGUGGGAAUUGCUGGAGAUACUAUCAUGACUCGAGGUCGGGAGAGGCUGGAGGUACUCCCAGGGUAGGGGUGAAAUCCUGUAAUCCUGGGAGGACCACCUGUGGCGAAGGCGUCCAGCUGGAACGAACCUGACGGUGAGGGACGAAAGCCAGGGGCGCGAACCGGAUUAGAUACCCGGGUAGUCCUGGCCGUAAACGAUGUGGACUUGGUGUUGGGAUGGCUUCGAGCUGCCCCAGUGCCGAAGGGAAGCUGUUAAGUCCACCGCCUGGGAAGUACGGCCGCAAGGCUGAAACUUAAAUGAAUUGGCGGGG
rnacentral:rRNA from 1 species